GAUGAACGCUGGCGGCGUGCCUAAUACAUGCAAGUCGAGCGAAUGGAUUAAGAGCUUGCUCUUAUGAAGUUAGCGGCGGACGGGCGAGUAACACGUGGGUAACCUGCCCAUAAGACUGGGAUAACUCCGGGAAACCGGGGCUAAUACCGGAUAACAUUUUGAACCGCAUGGUUCGAAAUUGAAAGGCGGCUUCGGCUGUCACUUAUGGAUGGACCCGCGUCGCAUUAGCUAGUUGGUGAGGUAACGGCUCACCAAGGCAACGAUGCGUAGCCGACGUGGGAGGGUGAUCGGCCACACUGGGACUGAGACACGGCCCAGACUCCUACGGGAGGCAGCAGUAGGGAAUCUUCCGCGAUGGACGAAAGUCUGACGGAGCAACGCCGCGUGAGUGAUGAAGGCUUUCGGGUCGUAAAACUCUGUUGUUAGGGAAGAACAAGUGCUAGUUGAAUAAGCUGGCACCUUGACGGUACCUAACCAGAAAGCCACGGCUAACUACGUGCCAGCCGCCGCAGUAA
rnacentral:rRNA from 1 species